CCAGCCCGGAAGGAGGAGGCAGCCAGAGAGGCCUCCACUGUUCUCUGCAGCAGAAGACCCCUUGCUGCCAGAGUCCAGCUUUCAAAUCCAUAGAGUGUCACAAAAGAAGGCCAUUGUCCAAAGGAUUCUAAUCUUUGUAGGUAUCUAGGAGUAUAGUAGGCAACUGAGUCCAGGAUUCAAGGGUGAACAGUUGAGCAGGAGUAAUAAAGACCUUCUGGGAACUUCAUGAACUCUGACUUGAGUUCCACAAUGAAGAAUUUUUAAAAGCAUAAUGCUCCGGAGUUCCUGUACAAAUGGAAAGUCAAGAGGAACCCAUCCUACAAAACUCUACGCACCCAAGUAAUCUUUACUCUCCCGGGAGCACUUUCCUUGUGAAAGCAAAUUACUCCGACGAGCAUCAGACCAAAAAGCAGGAAAUGUAUCAAUGCAGAUCUGAAAUACAGUGUGAUCAGAUGAGAUCCAGGAUAUUGCAGGAUACUAGCAUUCAUAAUAUGUGU